CCCACCUUUGCCCCCACCACUUCCACUUCCAUAACCAGAACCACUUCCACUACCAUAGCCCGAACCACUUCCUGACCCAGAGCCUCCACCUCCACCUCCACCUCCACCACCUCCACCUCCGCCACCCCUACCCCACCACCGGAACCAUAGCCCGAGCCGCCACCAGACCCAUAGCCAGAACCAUACCCUUUUCCACCGCUGCCGCCACCACCACCACCACCUUUACCUCCUCCUCCUCCUCCUCCACUAUCACCACUACCACCACCAUAUCCCUCACCACCCCCAGACCCGGAACCAUAACCUGACCCAAGUCCUGAUGCUGAACCGCCACCACCACCUCCUCCCUGCCCUCCACCACCACCUCCACCUCCAGUUGCCUUUAGUAUCCUAGCAGCAAAGGUGAGGUCUACAAUAAGCAAGACCAAAAACGCAGCCCCUACCACCCUCAAAGCCAUUUCCAAAUGAAACUAACACAAUAUAUCUAUCUGUUUGUGUGUCACUCACUAUAUAAAAUACCAAUAUGCUUUGUCGACUGAAAAUGCUUGAGGUAGGAACCCUAUAUAUAGGCAUUGCCAAGGUUACCAGACACUGUUUUUAAAAAGUUUAUUAAAUUUCUAGUACCUUCUAUCACUUGCUAGUCUUGAUGAUGAUCGAAAGGAACGUGUGAUUUAGGUGGUUGUUUUAGUGGAGGGUGCUGGUGGUGGGUGUGGCGGUGGUGGUAUUGUGGACUCCUGUCUGUUUCAGUCUUCGUGCCAUGUUUGCAUAGAAUAUAAGAUUUAUCCCCACUUUUUGACAUGAAGUGUCUUACAAUAUUUAACUUGGAAAUGGGACCAAUGGCUUGCAUCUCCCAUUCUAUCAUUCUGUUCAAAUUUCAACUCCACUUUCAAAUUUUAAUACAUG
rnacentral:lncRNA from 1 species